UUGCCAGAAGUCAAUGCUAAGUUCCUCCACUCUCUUGUCUCCACAGAGAUGCAGAAACUCGGAUUUACAAUAACUGAAUGGCUUGAGUCCUGACAUCAGAAGCCCUGUGGUUGGCACCCUGCUGGGUGGAUCAUGCCCCCAAGUCACAUCAGCUGGAUAACGCGUCCUCCCAGGUAAGCAGAGGCAAUAGAAGAAACCACCUUGCCUAAUGGCUUCAGCGUGAACCCAAGACCUGCAUUUCCUUGUGUGGUGAGAGAGCUGAUCCAGAGAGCUGGGUUAUGAUAGAGCCAGUCCUAUUCCUCAUCAACUCUAGCACAUAGCACACAGGAGAGUGAACCC